rnacentral:siRNA from 1 species
UCGCUUUUGUUGCCUUCACACAAG